GUGAGUCAUCGAAUCUUUGAACGCACAUUGCGCCCCUUGGUAUUCCGAGGGGCAUGCCUGUUCGAGCGUCAUUACAACCCUCAAGCACUGCUUGGUCUUGGGCUCCGCCGCUCACCCGGCGGGCCUCAAAAUGAGUGGCGGCGCCAUUAGGCUCUGAGCGUAGUAAAUUUCCUCGCUACGGAGUCCUGGUGACGCUGGCCAUCAACCCCCAACUUUCUAAGUUUGACCUCGGAUCAGGUAGGGAUACCCGCUGAACUUAAGCAUAUCAAUAAGCGGAGGA
rnacentral:misc_RNA from 1 species